rnacentral:rRNA from 1 species
UACGUAGGUGGCAAGCGUUGUCCGGAAUUAUUGGGCGUAAAGGGUGCGUAGGCGGUCAAUUAAGUCUAAUUUGAAAGUCCAUGGCUCAACCAUGGGAUUGGAUUGGAAACUGGUUGACUUGAGGAUAAGAGAGGAAAGUGGAAUUCCACGUGUAGCGGUGAAAUGCGUAGAGAUGUGGAGGAACACCAAUGGCGAAGGCAGCUUUCUGGCUUAUCCCUGACGCUGAGGCACGAAAGCGUGGGUAGCAAACAGG